GCCGAAGGGAAACCGAGUCUUAACUGGGCGUUAAGUUGCAGGGUAUAGACCCGAAACCCGGUGAUCUAGCCAUGGGCAGGUUGAAGGUUGGGUAACACUAACUGGAGGACCGAACCGACUAAUGUUGAAAAAUUAGCGGAUGACUUGUGGCUGGGGGUGAAAGGCCAAUCAAACCGGGAGAUAGCUGGUUCUCCCCGAAAGCUAUUUAGGUAGCGCCUCGUGAAUUCAUCUCCGGGGGUAGAGCACUGUUUCGGCAAGGGGGUCAUCCCGACUUACCAACCCGAUGCAAACUGCGAAUACCGGAGAAUGUUAUCACGGGAGACACACGGCGGGUGCUAACGUCCGUCGUGAAGAGGGAAACAACCCAGACCGCCAGCUAAGGUCCCAAAGUCAUGGUUAAGUGGGAAACGAUGUGGGAAGGCCCAGACAGCCAGGAUGUUGGCUUAGAAGCAGCCAUCAUUUAAAGAAAGCGUAAUAGCUCACUGGUCGAGUCGGCCUGCGCGGAAGAUGUAACGGGGCUAAACCAUG
rnacentral:rRNA from 1 species